rnacentral:rRNA from 1 species
AGAGUUUGAUCCUGGCUCAGGAUGAACGCUAGCUACAGGCUUAACACAUGCAAGUCGAGGGGAAACGACAUCGAAAGCUUGCUUUUGAUGGGCGUCGACCGGCGCACGGGUGAGUAACGCGUAUCCAACCUGCCCACCACUUGGGGAUAACCUUGCGAAAGUAAGACUAAUACCCAAUGACGUCUCUAGAAGACAUCUGAAAGAGAUUAAAGAUUUAUCGGUGAUGGAUGGGGAUGCGUCUGAUUAGCUUGUUGGCGGGGUAACGGCCCGCAAGGCUACGAUCAGGUAGGGGUUCUGAGAGGAACGGUCCCCCCANAUUGGAACUGAGACACGGUCCAAACUCCUACGGGAGGCA